GUGUCUCUCUCACGUUUGCCUCGUUUGCAUCUCUCUCUUGCCGUCUAUUCACUCCGUUAAGAGUUCUAAAUCCUUGCUAGCAUCACUCUGAAUCUUCAGAAAGUUACGUAAGAUUCAAAUGCCAUUGUCGCCUGGUACUAAGCUUCAGAUUCGCUUCGUAAGAUCUGCUGGCCGGUAAGCUCUGCGAUCAUACUUGUGUAAUUUCGUUUACAUCCUCCAAUUUCAUCUUAAAUUAACAAAAGCAUGAAUUUCUGCGCAUUUUAACGCGUUUUUUUAUUUCAGUUAUUUAUCCCUUGCUUUUUAAAAUCAAAUAGUAACGCAAAUUGUAGUGUAUAGUCAAUUUCUGAAUUUCGACCAAAUUGUUUUUCUGAAUUACAACUGUAUUUGUGCUGAAAUUUACCACAUUUGAAACUAGAACUUAGUUGAUCUCAAGUUUGACGAUGGAGAGUACUUUUGAUUUAGGUAACUAUGCUCUUGCUGGGUUCUGAAUUUUUUUAGAAGCAACAUAGAAGUAACCUAAUGAUGAUAAAUUAUUUGAGCUCUCCCCGUGUCAAGAAGCCCCACCAAGUGAACUCUCAAGGUCUUUCCUGGGUUACUCAAAGGAGUGUCUUACCCAUAUGAAUUAGGAAACUCUACGGGCGGCGCCUAGUCAUGUGCUGGCGUUGGGCGCCUAACGUUUGCCAGAGGAUUGUGAUAUGGAACGACUAUGCUCUGCGGGAUUUUCUUUGGGAAGGAUAAAGACCUCCACUGAUUGAGCACUUGAGGCACCACUCUUAAGAGCCUUGUGCGUUGAUUUGUGAGCAUGGCUUGGGUCUAG
rnacentral:lncRNA from 1 species